rnacentral:rRNA from 1 species
ACUUUGAAAAAAUUAGAGUGCUCAAAGCAGGCGCGACGCCUGAAUAAUGGUGCAUGGAAUAAUGGAAUAGGACCUCGGUUCUAUUUUGUUGGUUUUCGGAACACGAGGUAAUGAUUAAGAGGGACAGACGGGGGCAUUCGUAUUGCGACGCUAGAGGUGAAAUUCUUGGACCGCCGCACGACGAACUACUGCGAAAGCAUUUGCCAAGAAUGUUUCCAUUAAUCAAGAACGAAAGUUAGAGGUUCGAAGGCGAUCAGAUACCGCCCUAGUUCUAACCAUAAACGAUGCCAGCUAGCGAUCCGGCUGUGUUCCUCAAAUGACACGCCGGGCAGCUUCCGGGAAACCAAAGCUUUUGGGUUCCGGGGGGAGUAUGGUUGCAAAGCUUAAACUUAAAGGAAUUGACGGAAGCGCACACAAGGAUUGGGGCCUGCGGUUUAAUUUGACUCAACACGGUGCAACUCAUCCGGCCCGGACACAGGAAGGAUUGACAGAUUAAGAGCUCUUUCUUGAUUCUGUGAUAGGUGGUGCAUGGCCGUUUCUGGUUGGUGGAGUGAUUUGUCUGCUUUAUUGCGAUAACGAGCGAGACUCUAACCUGCUAAAUAGACGUUACGAUCCUUCUGAGUCGUACGUUCUUCUUAGAGGGACAGGCGGUGUUCAGCCGCACGAAAAAGAGCAAAAACAGGUCAGGAUGCCCUCAGAUGUUCGGGGCCACACGCGCGCCACAUUGAAGGAAUCAGCGUGUGCUUUCCCUGUCCGACAGGAUUGGGUAACCCGUUGAACCUCCUUCGUGCUGGGGAUAGGAAAUUGUAAUUAUUUUCCUUGAACGAGGAAUUCCCAGUAAGCAUGAGUCAUCAGCUCGUGUUGAUUACGUCCCUGCGCUUUGUCCACACCGCCCGUCGCUAUUAUCGAUGAAUUUUGGAGUAAGAUCUU